GUUGCCCACCACGGCGCUGAGUUGCCCGCCCUGCUCGUUGACGUGGCGCUGAUGUGGCAGCGACCCUGGCGCCACACAUCUUGGCGCCGAGACGUGCGCCGAGCUCGGCGCCGAGGUCCGUGCCAUAUCGCCAGCGCUCUCUGCGCCUCGUUCAUCCUUCCUCGUUGUGCCCGCCGCCGCCGGCGUCACCUCCGACCGCCGCUUGUUGGGCGCCCCACCCCACCUCUUCCGCGCGCCGGCCACGCCUGCACACGCGAGUCGCGCGACCUCCGCCUGCAGCCCAGCUCCUGGCUCGCCCCUGUCGCCCGCGGCCUCCUCUCUCGGCUCCGCCCGCCGCCGGCGCUACCUCCUCUUCCGCCGCGGCGGCACCACCUCACGGAGGCGAGCACCGCCCCGCCGCCUUCUCCAUGCGCUCAAGUAGGCCGGCACUCGCCAUCCUCGCCUCCUCCGCGCAUGCAGCCCUGUCUCUGCAUCUCCGCUCGCCUGUAAUCUGGCCGACAGUGCUUCUACCUGGUUACAGAGGUCUCCCUCCUUUCAAGCCUUGAGAGAAGGUUUUUUUUGUCCGGCGACUUCCUUUCUGCAAACAUAUGAUGGCAUCAGCUACAAGUGAACAUGAGCAAGAGCGGGAUAUAGGAAUUACCUUGGUCAUUUUGCUCGUUCAUCUGAACGUUAACUUGAUGGUUAAGUAGUAAUGCUCACGGGAAGAACAAUCGAAAUGAAGUAGCCCUAUUAGCUUGUAUGUGUACGUGUGACUCGAGUUCUAUCUCUUUGUAUCCAUACAUGUGCUGAUUGUUUGAUGUUAUAUCAUUGGCGGCAUAUCUAUAUUUAUCAAUCAUCAAAUUUACCUAAAGUUGUUCCA